rnacentral:rRNA from 1 species
UUGAGUAAAUCAGAGUGCUCAAAGCAGUCGUAAAGGGCCUCGGCCCUGUGAUAAGUCUUGACGGACUGUCUUGAUUUUGCAUGGUAUGUCGGAAAACGACGUCGAGUGCUGGCUCAGAGUCUAUAGAAGUGGUUUCAAGCCAAAGCCUCGACGUAAUGAUUAAAAGGAACGGUCGAGGGCAUUGGUAUUGCGAGGCGAGAGGUGAAAUUCUAUGACCCCCGCAAGACCGCCUGAAGCGAAAGCGUCUGCCAAGGACGUUUUCAUUAAUCAUGAACGAAAGUUAGAGGAUCGAAGGCGAUCAGAUACCGCCCUAGUUCUGACCCUAAACGAUGCCAACCAUCAAUCCGCGUGAGCACCCUUUUUGACGGGCUCGGCGGGCAGCUCUCUUUUCACGGGAAACCAGAGUCUCUGGGUUCCGGGGGGAGUCUGGUUGCAAAGCUGAAACUUAAAGGAAUUGACGGAAAGGCACCACCAGGAGUGGAGCCUGCGGCUUAAUUUGACUCAACACGGGCCAUCUCACCAGGCCAGAACUCUAGCACGAUUGACAGAUUGAGAGCUCUUUCUCGAUUGAGUGGAUGGUGGUGCAUGGCCGUUCUUAGUUGGUGGAGUGAUCUGUCUGGUUAAUUCCGAUAACGAACGAGACUCUCCCCUGCUAACUAGUCGGUUGGAUCUUGUGUUUCGAUGCGAGUCGUGCGCCGGGUUUUCCUUCGCCUCGCGGCGGCGGUUCGAGUUUUUCCGGUCGCUCGCUGGGUGCGUGUGUGUGUGUGCGCGCGCGUGCGUGUGCGCGCGUGUGCGUGCUUUUUGCCUCUGGUCAUUUCUCUCCGGAAGUGGCUGGGCGGGAGCGCGCGCGCGUGUGUGUGCGUGUGUGUGUGUGUGUGCGCGCGCGCUUCGGCGAUGUUGGCCGGGCUCUGCCGUUCUCGUUGCUUGGCGUGUCUGGUUUUCCCGGGUCGCACACUCCAAGUCCGCCGCUUAUGCUAUAAAACUCUUCUUAGAGGGAUCAACGGCUCUGAAGCCGUACGAGACUGAGAGCAAUAACAGGUCUGUGAUGCCCUUAGAUGUUCUGGGCCGCACGCGCGCUACAAUGCCGGGCACAGCAGGUGUUUUCCCUACUCCGAAAGGAGCGGGCAACCCUCUGAAAGCCCCAUCUCGUAUAUCAAAUGUAUCGGCCGGCGAGCACACAAACGCUCGUCGGUCGUGUGUGUGUUGGCGUGCUUGGGCCUGGGGCUUGCAAUUCUUUCCCACAAACGAGGAAUGCCUAGUAGCGGCGG